AUCAGUUGGGAUAUGACAUUUGAGAGGAACUCCACAAAUUGGUAUACUUCUAGAAGAGGAAAAGUCGUGCUCUGUCAGAGCCACAAAUUGGCAUUCAUCACGACCACUAUCAUCUCUCCCAGUUCAUAUCAUUAUCUUCUUCAAUAUCCCUCCAAUUCACCCGUACAAUUUUUGAUAAUUCUCACAUAAUUCAAUCAAUCUUCGCAUGGAACACAAUGAUGAGAGCAUAUUCCCCAGUAGAGUCUCUGAAACUCUUCGAACAGUUUCAAAAAAUCGGAUCAAAACCAGAUAAAUUCACAUUCGCUGUCGUGCUAAAUGUUUCUGGGCAUUGUUUGAUGAUUGGAACGGGUGGAUCAUUGCAUUCCAUGGCUGUGAAGUCGGGUUUUGGUUCAGAUUUACAUGUGAACAAUACCAUUUUGAGAAUGUAUGCUGGAUUGGUGUGAUCAGGUUUGCAAGACAGGUGUUUGAUGAAAUGCUUGAGAGGGAUAUAGUUUCUUGGAGUUCAAUGAUGGCUGCUUACGUUCAUUGUAACUUGCCUUCAGAUGCUCUGCUCCUGUUCCAAUGUGUGAAGCUAGCAAAUGAAAAGCCAAAUUCUGUCACUUUAGUUAGCUUGCUGGGGGCAUGUACUCGUAUCCUGAAUAUCAGAUUAGGUAAAUGUGUUCACUCGCACAUUGUUACCAGUGGUAUUGAACUACAUGUUGAGCUGGAAACAGCCCUCUUGGGCAUGUAUGCAAAAUGUGGUCUUAUACAGCAGGCUUUCUGCAUAUUCAAUUCAAUGGAUGAUAAAAAUUUGUAAACCUGGACCAUCAUGAUUUCUGGUCUUGCUGAUCAUGGACAUAAAGAAGACGCUGUGUCCUUGUUGCCAGAAUGGAAGAAUCUGGCUUUAGGCCGGAUAGCUUAUCAUUUUCUACAAUCUUAUAUGCUUGUAGUCAUAUUGGCUUUGUUGAUACCGGCCGUGAAUAUUUUGAAAAAAUGGCAAGUAUUUAUAACAUCAGGCCAACUAUGGAACAUUACGAAUGCAUGGUGGAUAUGUUUGGACGUGCUGGAAAUUAGAAGAAGCUUAUGAUAUUAUCAGGAGCAUUCCUACAGAGCCUAAUUCUGUGAUAUUGAGGAGUUUCAUUAGUGCUUGUAAGCAUCAUGGUCAUAUUCCUUGCGCAGAAGAAAAUAUAAGGGAGAUUCUCCUUAAAAUAGGGCCUGGUCUCGGAUCAAACUAUGUACUUGCAUCUAGUUUGUCUUAUCUUUUGGUUAUUGCAGCGAUGCAAACAACCUAAGAUCGGCAAUGAAAGUAAACGGGAUAAAGAAAUAUUCUGGCAGCAGCUGGGUGCCGUCGCUUGAUAGUCCUUCUGAAGGAAGCAGUAGAAGGAUCUGGUAGUAAUGUUUCUGUUUAUGCCAAUAGAAGAGGCAAUUCAAAUCACAGGAAUGAAGGCACUGUUACAUUCCAAAAACGGAGAACACUGUCAAUGGUGGAGGAAAAUAAAUUGCUUCUUUUUGGGUAAUACCACCAGGCUGAGGUACAAGUUUAGGGGAGAUGUUGCUUUGACCAUUGGAAGAGGGUCACACUGAAGUUCCUAACAUUCUUGCAUAAUUUUUAAUAACAUGAAAAAUGAAGAUUACAGUGUGAGGUGAUUUUGAUUUUUAGCUCAUGGGAUAUGACAUUUGAGAGGAACUCACAAAUUGGUAUACUUCUGGAAGAGGAAAAGUCGUGCUCUGUCAGAGCCACAACUCUGUUAUCUUUCUCAAAUUAUUUCUAACAAUCAAUUAUGCCUAGAUAUUGGACUAGUUAGGAUUAGCUUUAUGAGUCUCCUAUAUCCAUUCUACCUUAUUUGGGGCCAUUCUUUUCUAUAUUGGUAAAUGAUUUGUUUUCGCGAUAAACUACUCUUUCUUUUCAAAAUAUAUGGUUAAGGUUAAUCUUGGAAUGCUAUUCAGAAGUUGGGAUGCCCUUAAAGUGGCACCUCAGCAUGGCCUGAAACUUUGGUUAAAAACUAUGAGGUAUUCCCAUGGGAAACAAUCUACCAUGUUCCAAUGAAAGGAAUUACUAAGUUUUUUGCUUUACAUCAUAUUAUUAGGUAUCCAAUCUAUCAUGUUCCAAUGAAAGGAAUUACUAAAAAUGUUUCUGCAAGUUUUCUUACCUACCAUACAUUGUCAUCAACUUUCCAAGGUAUGCAUUUUAAACUCGCUAUAUUUGAUUUAAGUUAUACACUGACAAUGUAAGAAUUUUUUGGUAUUACUCUAUCCUACUUGAGUGAGUGAUGUGCCUUUUGUUUCUAGAUGUUGCAGAAGAGAAACCUGAUGGAGAAAGGAAGGGUGAGGGUGGAAUUCGUUUUAGUCCAUUCGGUUUAGCUGCAUACAAGAUGCAAAAUGAUGUAUGGCUAAACACUCAUAUACAAAAGGACUAUGAAAACCUAUGUGAUCUUCAAAAUGCUGCAGGUUCAUGGCUGAAGCAGCUUUCUUAUAGUCACCAUGACUUCAAUUUCUUCACCGCGCAUUCUAACAUGGAGCAUGGAGGUUACUCAUUAUGAAAUCAUUCACAGCUUCCACCAUCAUUCUUGCUAUGUUUUUUAUAUGGUUUACUCCAAGAAACUGAAACUGAUGUACCCUCUUUCAAUUCAUUUGAUGGGGGGAAAUCGUUAGAUUGUCUAAGAUAUAUUUUCCUUCGUGUUUUGGAAGGGUUUCAGUUUUGUACCAAAUUCGUUGUAGAGCUUUGUAAACAUCUAAUGCAGCUCUAUAUUUCAACAAGUACUAAAAUUUUGGGCCUAGGCCUUGGGCAUUUGCUUUUCUCAACAAGUUGUCACAUGUUUCAUCAUGUUGACAUUCAAACCACAA